UGAAAAAGUGGUUUGUGGUAUCUGGAAAGCUGAUGUUACGUGUGAAGAUUACAGACAAGCUUUAUCCAAGGAGAUCUGGCUCUUGAAGUUGAGAAAGCGGUGUGAGGAUUAUAGACAAGCUUUAUCUAAGGGGCUCUCGAAGUUGAGAAAGCGGUGACUCUUCGGUUUCGAACAAGCAAUCCUGUCGGGGAUCUGUCUCUCGAGAUUCGGAGAACGGUGCCUCUUCGAUUUUUGAGAAAGCAAUCCUGCUAGGAGUCUAGCUCUCGAGAUUCGGAGAGCGAUGUCUCGUCGCUUUUUGAGAAAGUAAUCAUGUUGGGAGUCUGGCUCUCGAGAUUCGGAGGACGGUGCCUCUUCGAUCUUAAAGCAAGCAAUCUUGUUGGGAGUGUUUUCUCGAAUGAGAGUAAAGGUUAGGCCUGUUUGCUAGUCUACCUUGCCACGGAGCACAUAGGUUGACCCACAGGGACUUUCCAAUUAUCCAGCAAUGGUCCUGUUCCUUUACCUUUGUGGGUAAUAAUAUGGUAGCUAGACCUUCAAAAUUUAUGUGUCUAAACUUUGUUAGUGCUGUUUCUUUGCUAUUCUUUUACCCUUAUUGGUCAUAGCGAUGUA
rnacentral:lncRNA from 1 species